CCUACGGGGUGCAGCAGUGAGGAAUAUUGGUCAAUGGACGAGAGUCUGAACCAGCCAAGUAGCGUGAAGGAUGACUGCCCUAUGGGUUGUAAACUUCUUUUAUAUGGGAAUAAAAUGUUCCACGUGUGGGAUUUUGUAUGUACCAUAUGACUAAGGAUCGGCUAACUCCGUGCCAGCAGCCGCGGUAAUACGGAGGAUCCGAGCGUUAUCCGGAUUUAUUGGGUUUACAGGGAGCGUAGGUGGAUUGUUAAGUCAGUUGUGAAAGUUUGCGGCUCAACCGUAAAAUUGCAGUUGAAACUGGCAGUCUUGAGUACAGUAGAGGUGGGCGGAAUUCGUGGUGUAGCGGUGAAAUGCUUAGAUAUCACGAAGAACUCCGAUUGCGAAGGCAGUUCACUGGACUGCAACUGACACUGAGGCUCGAAAGUGUGGGUAUCAAACAGGAUUAGAUACCCGAGUAGUC
rnacentral:rRNA from 1 species